rnacentral:rRNA from 1 species
GCCUUCGGGUUGUAAACUGCUUUUGUCCGGAACGAAACGGCCUUUUCUAAUACCGAGGGCUAAUGACGGUACCGUAAGAAUAAGCACCGGCUAACUACGUGCCAGCAGCCGCGGUAAUACGUAAGGUGCAAGCGUUAAUCGGAAUUACUGGGCGUAAAGCGUGCGCAGGCGGUAAUGUAAGACAGUUGUGAAAUCCCCGGGCUCAACCUGGGAACUGCAUCUGUGACUGCAUUGCUGGAGUACGGCAGAGGGGGAUGGAAUUCCGCGUGUAGCAGUGAAAUGCGUAGAUAUGCGGAGGAACACCGAUGGCGAAGGCAAUCCCCUGGGCCUGUACUGACGCUCAUGCACGAAAGCGUGGGGAGCAAACAGGAUUAGAUACCCUGGUAGUCCACGCCCUAAACGAUGUCAACUGGUUGUUGGGUCUUCACUGACUCGUAACGCAGCUAACGCGUGAAGUUGACCGCCUGGGGGAGUACGGUCGCAAGGUUGAAACU